CAAGAAUUUUACGAUUAGAGUAUCCUCGAUUCAGUUUAUGUACAUCAAAACUAAUACACAUUAUGCAAUAGAAAAACACUAAACCUUGCCUGAGAUCAGACAAAACCAGGAAAAACAAACACGAUAUCAGUAUUGAAUCUCUUAAAUUACUUACAAGAACCUUCUUCCUAAAGAGGAAUUUUAUUUAUCUAAUACAUACAUAUGGCCUGGCUGAGUCUUUCUGUCUUCCUCAAUGAAAUCUUCUCUUUCUUAGCCUCAUACUGAUCCAAAAGUACUCUGUCCUUAGCUUUCUCACCUUUCAACUUGUGAAUGCUCUCCAUGAGCACACGUUUGUUCCUGAAAACAUUCCCUUUCACUUUCAUGUACAUUUCAUUGUACAUGUGCUUGUCAAUCUUUCCAAGCUCUCUGUACUUGCGAAGCAGACGCCGAAGAACUCUCAUCUUCUUCAUCCACCGCUGCUUUGAUGGUAACCUUGCUUCUCUUGUUCCCUUCCUCUUCCCAUUGCCUGAAUGUCUCCCUCUCAUUUUCGCUUCCUUCGCCGCCUUAGACCCACUUCUGGAAUGGAUUUUCCAUGGUUUUCUGAUUAUGAAACCAUCCUUUAUCAGCUUUCUUAUGUUCAUCCUAGAAUUGGCCAUUGAGAUUUCAUUGGUCUCAUUGGGAUCAAGCCACAAUUUUCCCUCACCACACUUCAAUAUGCUGGCUGCCAGCCUUUUCUGCAGCCUCAAUGACACCAUUAUGAUUCUACAGCUUCUUUCUCUGCUCUGUAAUCUCUUCUGUUUUCUAAUCAAACGCUAG
rnacentral:misc_RNA from 1 species